GACGUGGACGUUGAUGGAUGACGUUGACGGACUGUUGUACCGCCCAUCUACCUGGGAUUUUGCUGUUUAUUUUCACCUGGUUGAGUGCAUGAAGAGAGCCCCAAGGAAUUCUUAUAGGCUGAGCAGCUGCAGUUGCUCUUUUCCUAAGUUCCAAUGGAUGCAGGCAACAAUUGUGUUCCAGUCAACAAAUUGAAUAUCGAAAUUCCUUUGGCAGAAGAAAUUGCAUUUAGCAAAAAUGUUUAUACUACUUUUAUUUGGGUUGCAGAUCAUUUUAGCGGCAAUUUCAUCACGAAAGUCCCUUAGUCCCGCACGAAUAAAACAGUAACACAAACAUCGGAGCUCCUCGCUCUUUCAAAGAAAAAACCAAAAAUUUAGUCAUACUAUUUGAAUAAACUUGACAAACGAGGCAAGAGGAAGACGCUUUAGAAUGAGAUUAUUUCCCCAAAUUCCCGCAAAGUGGCCAUCCGGUUGUGCUGCUACAGAAGGCGGUGAGGCUGGUUGUCGUCGUAGUUGUCGUGUAACUCGUGACAGUCGACUGGGCAAAAGACAACAGGAAACGGACAGGACCUCCGUCUGGCGCCGCAAAACCAGAUUCGAUCACCAAAGGGACUGUCACCGACGAUUUGUCGGCCGGCACCUCCACAACUUCCGCAACUGGAUCAGUUGAAGACCUUCAGAGACAAUGCCAGGACAUAACGGUCAAUCUAAAAAAGAAAAAAAUGAAGAGCAAUCAUUUUACUUACGUUUUCUCGGAAGGAAGGAAGACACUGCUGUCCUUGUUCUCAACUUCCUCGUCGUUGUAAAACAGCCCACGUCGUUGACGGCCCAGGACUGACUGGACUUCUUCGUAGAAAAGACCACGACGACGGCGGCCGAUGGUGCAGGUAGUUAGGGCCGCAGUUGAGGUGGUACAGGUGGUGCUAGUCGAAAUGGUUGAAGUCGUCGUAGUAGUUGCAACCCACAAGAAUCGCAUCGGUUCGUUUUUAAGGUCAACUGCUGACGUGGCAUAAACAGAGUUAACGAUGGCCACCAAACAAACGAUUUCCCAACGCAUUUUUGGAAUAUAUUUUGAAAGGUUUACUUUUCAAAGAUGGGAGAAAAUAACGUUGACAGUGCGCUGAAAUUGUUUUGGCGUUUAAAGCUGGCUAUUUAUAGCAAGUUUGCAUCUAAGGUUGUCUUUUUUUGAAGAACUAUUUCGAGCACUCCGAUUGGCUAAUGUGUAAUUAUUUUUUUCAAUUUGUGAAUGUUCACACAUGCAAUCUUGGAAGCAAAAACAUACAGGUUCACCUUCCUCUUUACUAAGUGUAUAUUCAAGACAUUUAGGUUUUCGUAGUUUAAGCUAUGCAAAUGCUAAGAAGCGUUUUCAGCUAUCGAACAAGACGCUGCAAGGUAACCCACCAAGUGGUUAAAAAUAGGUAGCAUCGCCCAGAAGGUAGAAUCGAACUACUCUGACGCUAGUCAGCUACAGGUAACUUCCAUCUCAUUUGAAGCCUGCACCCCGGACCACCGAAGAUCAUCUAGGCAUUAGACUAGUGUGCAGGUCAAGCUUUAUAUACCAUUUAAAAAUAAGGUAAUUUAGCGUUUGCGAAGUUUCAAAGCCAGUUUACAUCGUGUGAAUUAAAACAAGCUGAAAACUUAAAAAUUGAUCUUUUGUUCCAGUAGUUUAUAGCUCAAGGAAUAGAGUUCAUGUAUCGGAAAUUCAAAUUAAGCCACACUAGUUCAGUAAGAACGUGUUUUAUAUGAAUUUCACUGCUUUUUGCUGGCCUAGCGCCCUGCAUUUCCAGUCCUUUUCGAACUCCAAGAUUGCCAAACGGACGCAAUGUCCGUCUAACACUUUAAGUAUCCAUUCUUAUGGGCGGUAAAACAAAGAAAAAAUUCACGUGACUUCAAAUUUCAUACAUUUUUCGCAAUGUAUGCAAUUGGAUCUACGUUCUUUACAGUCUUGAAUCGUUGCGUAAUACAUCACGCGCGGGAAUUUUCAAAUAUACUUUGUUAAUUUCCCGUUUUCGACACAUUUAUUUAUUUAUUUUUUUUCAAAUUAGAUUUGAACGCAUUUCCUUACUGCGUCUUUCGUGUGUCUUAGGAAGGACUUUUACUUCUAGUUUCGCUGCGGUGUCGUCUUGAUGUCAUUCCGUCUUCGAUCUCGUGGUUCUCGUGACGCAGUGUGACGCAUACGGGACGGCGCGUGCCAGGAAUGAAAUAACAAAUCGAUAGUUUACUUGGCCUCGGCAACUGGCUUUUACCAACAGGAGUACACGAACAAGUAGGUAAGUCAGAAUUGCCCUGAUUAACUGCAAUUCAACGUAACAUUUAUUUGCUAAUCUUAUCUGAUUUAUGAGUGAAAAUGGCUGGCUACGGAGGGAGUGAGAACCCAGAUUACUUCAAAGAAUGAGGUCUAUAUUUGCAAUGCUGUACAAGACAGUCGGCUGUUUCACGACCCAUCACUAAAAUCAACCCCAAAACAAAAAUUUGAUUCAAUCCACAAGUGGCAGACGAAAAACAAAAAAAAAAGUAUUGAUACGUUGCCCAGCUGCAAGAUUACGUGGCGGUUGGCCAGCCAAAAGUUUUCAAGUUGACAAAGCGGAAAGAAGUAAACAAUCCGACCACAACAGUUAUCAAUGGCAUCCGGGAAUAGUUUGCUGGCAGAGGGAAGACAAGCAUCACAUCUCCGCACAAUCCAUUACCCGCACCGAUGAAGACACUGGACCUAAGAAGUCACUCGUCAAAUGCGCUGAUUUUCCAAAUUUAGCAGACAAAACUGUUUGCAGGGUUGAUAAUCAAUGAUAGCAUAAAAAACAUUGGAGUAAUUGAAAAGGUCAUCAUAAAGUUGGGUGUGGCUUCCGUUCUCUGUGACAUUUAUCCUCUUCACAAUUUCGUCAUAACUUUGACGUGUGUAAAUUCACGUCGGCUUCUCGGAUGACUGGAACUGCCAGAGGAUAAUGACGUACGUCAUCGUGGUGCCAAUCAACUAAAUGUAAACGCUUGCAUUCAAUUUUAAUAAAAUUCACAAAAAGAUGCA
rnacentral:tRNA from 1 species